GAUGAACGCCAGCGGCAGGCCUAAUACAUGCAAGUCGAACGGUGUCUUCGGACAUAGUGGCGCACGGGUGCGUAACACGUAUGCAACCUACCUUACAUUGGGGGAUAGCCUUUCGAAAGGGAGAUUAAUACCGCAUAAGACAGUAGCUGGGCAUCCAGCAGCUGUUAAAGAUUUAUCGAUGUAAGCUGGGCAUGCGUCCAAUUAGCUAGUUGGUGAGGUAACGGCUCACCAAGGCAAUGAUUGGUAGGGGAACUGAGAGGUCAAUCCCCCACACUGGCACUGAGAUACGGGCCAGACUCCUACGGGAGGCAGAAGUAGGGAAUAUUGGGCAAUGGACGCAAGUCUGACCCAGCCAUGCCGCGUGCAGGAUGAAGGCGUUAUGCGUUGUAAACUGCUUUUAUACAGGAAGAAACGACUCUUGCGAGAGGCAUUGACGGUACUGUAUGAAUAAGCACCGGCUAACUCCGUGCCAGCAGCCGCCGCAGUAA
rnacentral:rRNA from 1 species